GAUGAAGAACGUAGCGAAAUGCGAUAAGUAAUGUGAAUUGCAGAAUCCAGUGAAUCAUCGAAUCUUUGAACGCACAUUGCGCCCGCCAGCAUUCUGGCGGGCAUGCCUGUUCGAGCGUCAUUUCAACCCUCGACCUCCCUUUGGGGAAGUCGGCGUUGGGGACCGGCAGCACACCGCCGGCCCUGAAAUGGAGUGGCGGCCCGUCCGCGGCGACCUCUGCGUAGUAAUCCAACUCGCACCGGAACCCCGACGCGGCCACACCGUAAAACACCCAACUUCUGAACGUUGACCUCGAAUCAGGUAGGACUACCCGCUGAACUUAAGCAUAUCAAUAAGCGGAGGA
rnacentral:misc_RNA from 1 species